rnacentral:lncRNA from 1 species
CGGAGACAUCUGAAGCUUCUAUUCCUUGUAUGUCCAGCUUUGAGGCUGGAACACCUGCAGGCUGUUGGAUCUUUCUCUCUCCAAUGGUCUCAAUGUGUGGCUAGCUUGGUCUUGUGCACAGCAUGGGGGUGUCUCAUGUUGUGAAGAAGUGGAAGUAGUAGUCCGUUUUCUCAUAUGGCAGCUUGUUUCCCUCCUGAGGAAAUGCUAUAAGAGACCAAGGUAGGGGCUGCAAGGCUUUUGUGAGCCUGGCUUUGGAAUUCCUGGAGGAUCACUUCUGCUUCAUUCUGUCCGUUAUUGAUUUGGUACAUUUACUCAUCUGGAGAUUUAGAUGACCUUCCCAGACCUAUUGAUGUCAUGGAUACAGGUUAACAUUUUUGUUCCCCGUCCCUUCCCUCAAUCAGAGCUCCUAAAUCCCUACUGUUAUGAUCUGAAUGUAUACCCCCAAAAAACAUGUGUUGG